AUUGAACGCUGGCGGCAGGCCUAACACAUGCAAGUCGGACGGUAGCACAGAGGAGCUUGCUCCUCGGGUGACGAGUGGCGGACGGGUGAGUAAUGUCUGGGGAUCUGCCCGAUAGAGGGGGAUAACCACUGGAAACGGUGGCUAAUACCGCAUAACGUCGCAAGACCAAAGAGGGGGACCUUCGGGCCUCUCACUAUCGGAUGAACCCAGAUGGGAUUAGCUAGUAGGCGGGGUAACGGCCCACCUAGGCGACGAUCCCUAGCUGGUCUGAGAGGAUGACCAGCCACACUGGAACUGAGACACGGUCCGGACUCCUACGGGAGGCAGCAGUGGGGAAUAUUGCACAAUGGGCGCAAGCCUGAUGCAGCCAUGCCGCGUGUAUGAAGAAGGCCUUCGGGUUGCAAAGUACUUUCAGCGGGGAGGAAGGCGAUGUGGUUAAUAACCGCAUUGAUUGACGUUACCCGCAGAAGAAGCACCGGCUAACUCCGUGCCAGCCGCCGCAGUAA
rnacentral:rRNA from 1 species